rnacentral:tRNA from 1 species
GCUCCGGUCGUAUAGCCUGGUAAGUAUCCUGGCCUUUCGAGCCAGGGGUCGCGGGUUCAAAUCCCGCCCGGAGCA